rnacentral:rRNA from 1 species
GGGUUGUGAGGUUAAGCGACUAAGCGUACACGGUGGAUGCCCUGGCAGUCAGAGGCGAUGAAGGACGUGCUAAUCUGCGAUAAGCGUCGGUAAGGUGAUAUGAACCGUUAUAACCGGCGAUUUCCGAAUGGGGAAACCCAGUGUGUUUCGACACACUAUCAUUAACUGAAUCCAUAGGUUAAUGAGGCGAACCGGGGGAACUGAAACAUCUAAGUACCCCGAGGAAAAGAAAUCAACCGAGAUUCCCCCAGUAGCGGCGAGCGAACGGGGAGCAGCCCAGAGCCUGAAUCAGUGUGUGUGUUAGUGGAAGCGUCUGGAAAGGCGCGCGAUACAGGGUGACAGCCCCGUACACAAAAAUGCACAUACUGUGAGCUCGAUGAGUAGGGCGGGACACGUGGUAUCCUGUCUGAAUAUGGGGGGACCAUCCUCCAAGGCUAAAUACUCCUGACUGACCGAUAGUGAACCAGUACCGUGAGGGAAAGGCGAAAAGAACCCCGGCGAGGGGAGUGAAAAAGAACCUGAAACCGUGUACGUACAAGCAGUGGGAGCACGCUUAGGCGUGUGACUGCGUACCUUUUGUAUAAUGGGUCAGCGACUUAUAUUCUGUAGCAAGGUUAACCGAAUAGGGGAGCCGAAGGGAAACCGAGUCUUAACUGGGCGUUAAGUUGCAGGGUAUAGACCCGAAACCCGGUGAUCUAGCCAUGGGCAGGUUGAAGGUUGGGUAACACUAACUGGAGGACCGAACCGACUAAUGUUGAAAAAUUAGCGGAUGACUUGUGGCUGGGGGUGAAAGGCCAAUCAAACCGGGAGAUAGCUGGUUCUCCCCGAAAGCUAUUUAGGUAGCGCCUCGUGAAUUCAUCUCCGGGG